rnacentral:rRNA from 1 species
CCUACGGGAGGCAGCAGUGGGGAAUAUUGGACAAUGGGCGGAACUCUGAUCCAGCGACGCCGCGUGAGUGAAGAAGUAUCUCGGUAUGUAAAGCUCUAUCAGCAGGGAAGUAAAUGACGGUACCUGACUAAGAAGCCCCGGCUAACUACGUGCCAGCAGCCGCGGGAAUACGUAGGGGGCAAGCGUUAUCCGGAUUUACUGGGUGUAAAGGGAGCGUAGGCGGUGCAGCAGGUCUGAUGGGAAAGGUCGGGGGCCAACCCCGGGACUGCAUGUGAAACUGUUGAACUGGAGUACAGGAGAGGUAGGCGGAAUUCCUGGUGUAGCGGUGAAAUGCGUAGAUAUUAGGAGGAACACCGGUGGCGAAGGCAGCUUUCUGGACUGUAACUGACGUUGAGGCUCGAAAGCGUGGGGAGCAAACAGGAUUAGAUACCCGAGUAGUC